rnacentral:tRNA from 1 species
UAGCCUAGCGGUAAGGCUUCGGAUCGCCAACCCGGAGACGGCGGGUUCAAUUCCCGU